AAGAUCCUGGCUCAGAUUGAACGCUGGCGGCAGGCCUAACACAUGCAAGUCGAACGGUAACAGAAAGCAGCUUGCUGCUUUGCUGACGAGUGGCGGACGGGUGAGUAAUGUCUGGGAAACUGCCCGAUGGAGGGGGAUAACUACUGGAAACGGUAGCUAAUACCGCAUAACGUCGCAAGACCAAAGAGGGGGGACCUUCGGGCCUCUUGCCAUCGGAUGUGCCCAGAUGGGAUUAGCUAGUAGGUGGGGG
rnacentral:rRNA from 1 species